AGAUUCGUGUUAUUGUUGCGUGUGCUUCUAGCCUGUGUGCAGGUUGAGCUGGUGGUUCAGAUGAUUAAUGGGUUUUUCUUUGUAUGCAUAGAAGGAAAAGGAUAUAGGACAUGCUCUGGCCUUAUAGAAAUAGAAUCUCUGGUAUCCAACCAAGGAAGAAAUGGUUAGAAAAUAAUGGACCGCGGUGGAUGAUUUUCAGAGCAACCUCACCUGAUGGACAUUGG